UCAUGCGUGUUUUGAUGCCAAUGCUGGAAUUACUUGAAAUGAUAAUUUUGUCUAUGCUCGCGUUAAAUGCUCACAAAGUGUUGGCUUUGAACAACAAGUUUUUGGUUUUUCGGCCUAAAGAACAGACGAAAUGGCAUCUCAAAUCAAUAUCAACCCACAGCAAGUACCAUCUUCUGUUGCCCAGGACAAGUCUAAGAGUUUACGAUCCCUUGACGAAAAAAAAUCAAGCGUCGUUACUGUUCGUGUUACCAGGAAAUGGGAAGAAUUGGAUUUUAUGUCCACCAACGACGUUACCAUUGUCGAUAUGGUCAUUGUUGACGAGCAGGGUGACGAGUUACAUGCCAUCAACCCUAAAAUUUUUAUCUGGAAAUUUGAUAAGCACAUUCGAGAGGGUGGUUUGUACACUAUUGAAAAAUUGCACUUGACUAAUGCAAAACCAAAAUUCAGGCCAGCACAUAGUGAAAAAAGAGGUUAUUUUUGGCGGAACACCUCGCUCUCUGCACUGGAUGCUUACUCCGUGUAGAUUAUUCUCCAUAAUUUCUGCUUCACUGAGUUUGAGGCACUCGAAUCUAAUCUUCAAAACAUACAUCUUACAGGGAAAUCACCCUUUCGACAACAAUGUAGAAAUGGGAGCAAGGUUUGUUCCCUGACAAAUCUUAGGAAACUAAGUAGACCAUCUUUGUCACUUCAUUAUUCAGUUGCAGGGCUAAAUCGACUAGGAAAACCUGUAGGUUGAGGUGGUUGGACUAUGAAGUGGAUCUCAUUGGUCGUAUGCGUGCACUAGCUUCGUGGCAACAUCCAGCGGAUCCUAUAGGGGAAACUCCAAAAUCAGAAGACAAAGGUCAAACAUAAUAUCAGCUCUUUUAUACAUACCGCCAUUUAGGUUACUGCUUUCAAGGCUUUAUGUCAAAGAAGACCCCAGGAUUAAGUCGUUUGCGAUAUGUAUAGACAAAGAAAAUGUAAUUGUGUAAAAAGUAAGGAAUGCAAGGGCAAUUCUUUUUCAUAGACAACUAACAUCAUAUAUGUAUAAUGUAUAGCAUUUGGUUCUUCAUUUUCUGGGCAUUUUUGUGGUUCAUAGCUUUAGCUGAUACACACAGUAUUCAAAAAUUUAUGCUUUAGCUUAAGCAUUGCAU